ACGAACGCUGGCGGCGUGCUUAACACCUGCCAGUCGAACGGAAAGGCCCCUUUGGGGGUACUCGAGUGGCGAACGGGUGAGUAACACGUGAGUAACCUGCCCUUGACUUCGGGAUAACUUCAGGAAACUGGGGCUAAUACCGGAUAGGAAUCCUUGCUGCAUGGUGGGGGUUGGAAAGCUUCGGCGGUUUUGGAUGGACUCGCGGCUUAUCAGCUUGUUGGUGGGGUAGUGGCUUACCAAGGCUUUGACGGGUAGCCGGCCUGAGAGGGCGACCGGCCACAUUGGGACUGAGAUACGGCCCAGACUCCUACGGGAGGCAGCAGUGGGGAAUAUUGCACAAUGGGCGGAAGCCUGAUGCAGCAACGCCGCGUGCGGGAUGACGGCCUUCGGGUUGUAAACCGCUUUCAGCAGGGGCGAAGCUUGUGGUGACGGUACCUGCAGAAGAAGCACCGGCUAACUACGU
rnacentral:rRNA from 1 species